AAACAAAAAAAUGUUAAGUACCAAUCCAUAAAUUGUGUUUUACUAGCUAAUCAUUCUGAGAUAGUAACCUGUAAGAUAAACUGCAUUAGUAUUAUUCACCAAACACCUGACACAACUUGUAACUCCCCCUCAGUGGAUGAGUAUUUGAUGAUAAUUACCUCUUAUUGGUCAGUGGUAACGAUGACUGCAUACCCAGAUAAUCAAAAAACUCCUUUUCAGACCAUAGGUUCAUAUUAACAUGAAGCCAAUAUAGAAGAGAAAAAAGUUCUUUCUAACUUACUUCUACUACACUCAUAGCUGAAACACAGUAAAAACAGAUAUAGAUUAGACUCAGGAAGAGCAAGAAGACUAGGUAAAAGGAUUCACUGUUCCACGGGAAGAGAAUCUGCCCAAAAAUGAAGCCAGUGCGUUUCUUUCAGUGAAUAUUCUUAUUGGCAACACCUCGGCUUCUGAUGACUGCCUUAUCUGUGACGGGCCGCUGGAAGCAGUAGGCAAGCACCAUCUCUGGACUUGGCACAGACAGAAUGAGGCAGACCAGCAAGAAUUUGUUCCUAGAACCAAAAAUGGGCUCUCUCAUGUCAAAGAGGUGGACCAUCAUAGGAUACCUGCAGCGGAGGGUGGUAGGCGAAGGUCUGGUCCCAUGAACAUAGUACCUGCAGUUGAUGAUGACAGACAGGCAGCAGAUGGUGUCUGGGAGGGCGGAUAGCCACAGGCAGAGCCUGUGCUUUCCAAACACGACUCCAGGGAGACAGGAGAUCUGGUAGUGCCACUCAUUACCCCUGAUGAUAAAGGGCAGGAUUAGUCUGAGACCUGAGGCUGGGAGACAGGAAAGUGACAUGGGAAAGGUGGGUCAAGAGGGAAAUGGGGGAAGAAGUUAAGGAACCAAGAAGGGGGUUACAGUGCAUUUCUGUGGGCAGUCGCUUGGUAUUAUGAACUGGAAGAGAGGAGGAAGUAGGUUAUAAUAUAGAGUUUUAGAAGGAAUGAGCAGGCUCCACGUUUGGUCCAGGUGAACACUGGAUGUCCCAGCUGGUCCCCACUGAUCUUUUCUCCCUUCAGUCUAUGUAAUAAAUGUUAAUUCGGUCCUGAUCCUUUAAAUGUGAUUGCCCUAAACUCAUUGGAGGUCCAUCCAUAUUGUAGUUUUAACAGUUUGGGUAAAUCUUAAGUAUGCAUGUCUCUCUUAGACCAUAAACCUUAAGAAUAUAGGGAUCAAAUCUAUAUAGUUCUUUCUGAAUGGUGACUAUGUGAAAGCCCUUGACUGUGUGGAUCACAACAAACUGUGGAAAAUUCUUAAAGA
rnacentral:lncRNA from 1 species